rnacentral:rRNA from 1 species
UACCAGCACCCCGAGUGGUCGGGACGUUUAUUGGGCCUAAAGCAUCCGUAGCCGGUUCUACAAGUCUUCCGUUAAAUCCACCUGCUUAACAGAUGGGCUGCGGAAGAUACUAUGGAGCUAGGAGGCGGGAGAGGCAAGCGGUACUCGAUGGGUAGGGGUAAAAUCCGUUGAUCCAUUGAAGACCACCAGUGGCGAAGGCGGCUCACUGGCCCGAUACUGACGCUGAGGCACGAAAGCGUGGGGAGCGAACAGG